rnacentral:rRNA from 1 species
AGAGACCGGCGCACGGGUGCGUAACGCGUAUGCAAUCUACCUUUCACAGAGGGAUAGCCCAGAGAAAUUUGGAUUAAUACCUCAUAGUAUUAUAGGAUGGCAUCAUUUUAUAAUUAAAGUCACAACGGUGAAAGAUGAGCAUGCGUCCCAUUAGUUAGUUGGUAAGGUAACGGCUUACCAAGACUACGAUGGGUAGGGGUCCUGAGAGGGAGAUCCCCCACACUGGUACUGAGACACGGACCAGACUCCUACGGGAGGCAGCAGUGAGGAAUAUUGGACAAUGGGCGCAAGCCUGAUCCAGCCAUGCCGCGUGCAGGAUGACGGUCCUAUGGAUUGUAAACUGCUUUUAUACGAGAAGAAACAGUACUUCGUGAAGUACCUUGACGGUAUCGUAAGAAUAAGGAUCGGCUAACUCCGUGCCAGCAGCCGCGGUAAUACGGAGGAUCCAAGCGUUAUCCGGAAUCAUUGGGUUUAAAGGGUCCGUAGGCGGUUUAGUAAGUCAGUGGUGAAAGCCCAUCGCUCAACGGUGGAACGGCCAUUGAUACUGCUAAACUUGAAUUAUUAGGAAGUAACUAGAAUAUGUAGUGUAGCGGUGAAAUGCUUAGAGAUUACAUGGAAUACCAAUUGCGAAGGCAGGUUACUACUAAUGGAUUGACGCUGAUGGACGAAAGCGUGGGUAGCGAACAGGAUUAGAUACCCUGGUAGUCCACGCCGUAAACGAUGGAUACUAGCUGUUGGGAGCAAUCUCAGUGGCUA